CCUGCCUGGGGCACCCGCCUGUCCACCCUGGAGAUAGGGUUAGGAUUGCUUGAACACACAAGGAAAGAAUAAACGCACAGAUGCAGAACUUGAGUACCAGCUGAAGACUGUGCUGCUUGAAAACUCCAAAAUAAAGCCCGCCCUAACAUGAUACUCAGAGAACACAAACGCAGCUGCGGUGCUCCUGCCAACCACGAGGAACCAUCGGCCGACCCAAACCAAGGGAAAUUCUGCAGAAUAACAGAGUUGCUCUUCCAAAAUGUGAAGGUCACGAAAGGCGAGGAAAGACUGGGGGAAUGUCACAGACUGAAGGAGAGUGGGGAGCCAGGACUGCUAAAUGCAAAGCCUGAUUCUGGAUUGGGUCCUAGACCAAGAAAGAGACAUCAGCGGGAAAACUGAGGAAAUUCAAAUAAAUUCUCUAAAUCGGU
ensembl:lncRNA